rnacentral:sRNA from 1 species
AGAAUGGAGAUCCAGUUCGCCCAGGAGUAGCUAUGACUGAUCUUGCCACUGGCCUGUAUGCAUAUGGAGCUAUUAUGGCUGGAUUGAUACAAAAAUACAAAACUGGGAAAGGACUGUUCAUUGAUUGUAACCUACUGUCAUCCCAGGUGGCGUGUUUGUCUCACAUAGCUGCAAAUUAUCUUAUUGGUCAAAAGGAAGCAAAACGCUGGGGUACAGCUCAUGGCAGUAUUGUUCCUUACCAG